AUUUAAUACUACACCAGGCUGCCCAGGGCCCCAUCCAACCUGGCCUUGAACACCUCCAGGGAUGGGACAUCCACAGUCUCUCUGGGCAGCUGUGCCAGCACCUCACCACUCUCAUGGUAAAGAACUUCCCCCUGACAUCCAACAUCUUCCCUCCUUCAGCUUAAAACCAUUUCCCCUUGUCCUGCUAUUAUCUACCCUUUCAAAGGGUUGACUCCCCUCCUGUUUAUAGACUCCCUUUAGGUAGUGAACUCUUUUAGAGAGUAAACUGCUGGAAAGAGGCUGCUUGUGCCCUUAAAAGUCUAAUUUAGAGGUCAAAUGAGCGAUGAGAUACCCCAUCCCACUAGAAGUCAAUAGAAAUCAGUUAUUAUUUUUUUUGCAUGUGCUGUGAUGAUCUAUUUGGGUGUUUGGGGUCAUUUUUAAGGCAGAUCCAUGCAUGAGUCCUUCUCCUGAAGUCAUGGCGUUGAGCUUUUAGGCUGCAUCUAUGUCUGCAAAGCACAAUAUGGAUUUGGGUUGACCUCUAGAGAGAGGAAAUCACAAUCUCUCCCUCCUUUCCUUUACAAGUGGAAGGCAGAACUGUUCCAAAUCCUGGAAGCAUGGAGGGAAAGCAGUGACCGUGUGAGCUGCUCAUAGCAUUUCUCAGCGCCUUGCCAACUAUGUUUUCUUUUAGGGCAUAAUCUGUGAGAGCUGGCAGACCUUCUCUUGGCUUUGCCUAAUUAAAUCAGCUGGGAAAGGGCGUGCUGGAGAGGAGGAGCUCUUAGUGUGUCCUCACCAUUACUUUGCACCCUUCAGUUUGCACCAAUGAGGAUAUUCUCCCUGGACUGAAUCAGGAGGAUCUCAGGAUUUGGCUACAUGGUUGAUCUACCCUUUUUUGACCUCGCUAUAAAAUGCUGUCAUGGGUCCAUUCCAACUUGGGAUAUUCCAUGGUUCUAUGAUUCACAGCCUCACAGAAUCGGUCCCCUAUCUCCUUGCCUUUUUGUAUUAUUGCUCUGUAACUGUCAGGGUGGAACACUAUGUUCCCCACGUCCACAAUGGCCAGGACAAGAAUAGGGCUAAAAUUAAACCACACGCAGAUGGAAUUAAAUGAAGAAAUGCUUGAAACGAGGCUUGGUGAAGCAUCAGAAUCUGUUAUUUGGAUGAGGCUGUGGAGUGCAGAUGUUCCUGCCUGGGGCAGAGGGAUGCUUCAAGGUCAUUGAGCGGCCACUUCACAUCCCAACCAGGGCCGGAUUUGGGCUCAGCCCUUCUGGGAUGCCAGGCAAGCUGUUAAGAGCUACGUGCAAUCACAGAGAGAGACAGAGGUGAGCUGAAAAAACCCUGACUCAAGAUUCUCACUCAGCUGAUGCCAAGUCCUAAUGUUUAGGUGGCUUUUGCUUUAUUUUCGUUACUUCUAAGCUCCUCAGCUGGGAUUCUGCCAGAAGUCAGAACUCUGGUUUUAACCCAAACAGCCCCGUUUGGGACUGACGCAGCUCAGAGCAGCCCACGCUUUAGGGACAUGGUUUUGUGGGCAAUAUUGGUGGUAGAUGGACAAUUGGACUAGAUGAUCUUGGUGGUCUUUUCCAACCUUAAUGGUUCUAAGUGUGGGUCAUCCCCCGUGCCUCAGUGCUGGCAGCAUCUUUGGCACCUCCUGGUACCUGCACCUUGGGAUGGAGCUUUGUUGGGGGAAUUGAGUUCUAUUUCUCUUUUAUUUCCAGUCAUGGAUAGGCAUCCCCUUCAAUUUUAAAAUAAAUCCAGAUCAUUUCUUUUUGGAUGGAGCCAUAAAUCUUUGCACUUCAGUUCCCCAUCCUCACAACUCCUUCCUCCUACCAGCCAAUGUCUAUAUGGGUAUUUCAGCCUGGAAACUCUCUGACCUGCUCUGAAACAUAGGUAUUUCUCGAAGGCCAUGACACACAGUGGCAGGCUGCUGGCAUGGUGGGUUGGCCGCUCCUCGGAGACGUUUGUCCCCACAGUUGUCUGCACACCACAGCACAUAGCACUGUUUGUGUGUGCGUUUAAUGCAAGUGUUGUUUCCCAUAAAUGCCUCCUUCUGGGCCCGGAGAAUCGCUCUCACCCUCUCUCACCUCAGUGGCCAACUGAGAAAGGUCUCCUUCACUCAGCUGGGGGAGAGGGGGAGGAUUUAUGAAUUGGAGAGAUGCAUUCCUGAUGUGGAAUGGGCACAUUCUGCAUUUCCAAUCCCCCCCCCCCCCGCUCGGUAAAAGCACCAUUUGUGUGGCAAAUAGCCAAGGGUUUUAUGAAUGCAGCUCUUGCUUUCUCCAGCUGCUAGAAACCUUUCUCAAAUAUGAAUUAAAAUAAAAGCCUCACUAGACACUUUUAGCACUCAUAAUUCUGCUAUUUCUGGUCUGCGGCGUGGAGUUCUUGCAUCAGAAAUCAUGGUUGGAGUGGCUUGAGUGGCUUCUUUCAAAUAUUAUUAAAGGGAAGAAAACUCAAAAGAUGGAUGACUUCAAUCUACAAGAACUUGGAUGUGAUUGUGUACCCAGAUUUGGCAUUUCCCUAGUUAAUAUGGCAGGGAAAUCCCAUCUCUGCUUAUAUAUCCUUAUAUAGACUUACCCUUCAGGUACCAUUGGGGGGGUGUCCUUGAGGAAUUGGUACGCCCCGCAUUUGGUGCUCUAAUAAAUCAACUAGCAGGGAGAAGACAAGAUCAGGACCGCAAUCCAUGCAUGGGAAUAUCUUAGAGGUUUUAGGAAAGCAUUUUUCAUUGCAUCACAGGAGUAAGAGAAAGAGGAAACCAUGGUAACAGCCGUGGGCUGGUGGAGCUGGGAGUUUGCAGUUUGCAGACAGGAGAGGGAUGCUCGGUGGCAAUUUGUCACCAGGCAAGCAUGGGACAGGGGGAUGCUCCUGGUGGGUGUGUUCACAGCACUGUGGAGGAAAGCGGUGUUUUUCUGGGGGGAAGGAUUUGGAUUGCUUGUAGUUGGUGAUUCUGUGCAAGGAUCUGCCCUGCGUACAGGGAUUUUGGGUACUUCCCUGCCGAGCUGAUUUUUGCCUUGCAGGCAGCCAGCGGUGAGAGGAAAAAAUCUGGGCAAAUGCAAAAUCUCACCCGCUGGGACUGUGAAGGUGAAUCAUGAAAAUGGGGGUGGGAAUCCAGUUAUAUGUAGGUUGUGGGGUCAUUAAGGCAGAGUGGAUGCAGGUUACAUCCAGGUUACCCUCCUAUCUUCCUUGACUUAUACACGACAAGGACAGGUGAAACAGCAACUCUGCCUUAUAAAUGUGUAUGACAUGUCAACAGGAUGGCUCGAUUUCUUUGCAGAAGCAGUAGAGAUUAUUCUGAAUCCCAACCCGAUCAGAAAUAAAUAACAUCACCUCCCAGAGACCACAGAGUACCUGAAGGGCAUUUGAAACCUUUGCAUGCCAACAGUGCUUUUCUGGCGGGGUCAUCUUCUGAGACGAAAAGUUCAGUGUCUGCAGUGGUUGUGCUGAGGCUCCCACAGAUGGAUGCUCAGAGAUGGAUGCUGAGCACUUUCAAGCUGGCCAUUUAGAGAGUUUGUGACCAGAAAUCAAUCCAGGCAGAAAAAAUGUACAUCUACCUGUUUACAUCAUAAACCACAAACGCGUUUGCAUCCUGCAACAAACACCUGGGCAACAUCCAGAGGAGACAUUCCCAACGUGUUAACUACUGCCAGCGCUGGGAUCCUGUAACCACAGCACAUGGAGAUGAUGGGAACUCAGUUAAAUUAAGGAGAACCACCAAGAUUGUGAAACGUGGCAGCAGGACAAGAGCUGGUUGCAACACAGGCUGGACUUUAGGUCUGUUGGCCAAUCGAACACAUCUGAUGCUGGUGAUUGGGAUGCCAGAGACAGUUGGUAGACUGCUGAUCUACCCUGUGGGUCACUGAGGCACGUUCUUGAGGGCUGAUCCUCCUGGCCUGCACAAAUCUGCAUGUCCAAUUUCCCGAAUGGCAGAAAAUUCUACAUUAAGAUGACAUUUAUCAGCUAAUCUUUUAAAAGAAAUUAACUGGGUAUUUAUGAGGCUUAGACUUAGAGUAUCAUAGAAUCAUUAAGGUUGGAAAAGACCACCAAGACCAGCAAGUCCGACUGUCAACUGAUUCCCCACCAUGCCCACCAACUACAUCCUUCUGUGCCACAAUCUAACUUCUCAGUGGCACCAGGGAGAGCACAACCAAGCUCCUUUUGGAUCCCACUUGUAUCUUGUUCCCUUACUGCAAGGACAGACCCAAGCCCAACCCUGGCAAACAUUUCCUACCAGGGCAGUCACCACUGUGCAGGCUGGGUGAUGAGGCACCAGUGGGUGCAAGGAAACCCUAAAGCCCACAGGGGUCAGGGCUGGCAAUGCCCCACAUCCCUCCAUGCUGCUCAGCCCUUCUGCUGAUGUUCUGCAGGAGAGCAGCAGCUGAUGGUGCUAAAAAUACCCUUGGGCAGGGUAGCAGUGGUUCAGCACUGGGCUUCCCAGAAGAGUGCUGGUAUUUCAGCCUUGUGACUCCAGCUCAGGCCACUUGAUGAACAGCAUGCAACUUUGCUCUGAUUUCCCCAUUUGGUAGGGAACAAUCUCAGUAACGGAUGGAUAAGUCAGCAAACAGCAUAGUUCGCUUUCUUAUUUUAGGUCUCCCAUAGACAUAGAUAUGAAUGACUCUGAAAUAUAGGCAGCACCUGGUCCUUCCCUGCUGUCACAUUGUCCCCUUGAUGGAAAAGCAAAGGAGAUUCCUAUACAAGAUCCCUCUGUAGGUCUGAGGAGGCAGCCGUAAAUGUCCGACCAUAUGCGUGCCAAACAUCCAACCACUCUGCAACCUCACUUUGCCCAUUGCACGUGGGGCAAGAUGGGAGGGAUUCCCCAAAUCUGCAAGCACAUCCCAUAAAAUACCCCGGACACCAGCUGAGAGCACCACCUGUCAGUGGAGUGCUUUGUUCCCAAACCAGGUCCUGCUGGCACAUCCCUCUGACACACUCUACAGAAGAAAAAGUAAAACUAGGAACUUUUUGACUUCUUAUUUUGCAGAAGUGUGACCUUUCGACCUGAAUCACGAUGAGUGGUUAUGAGGAAGAGCUGCUCUCACUUCUAAAUUAUUGCCAUGCAAUGAGCAGGUUUCCAUGGGGUAGCUGAAGGCAUGUCCUGAGGUCCAAGGGAUACAAGCAUCCCAUUCUUGCUCUACUUUGCACUAAAGGACUGGUCUUAGAGGAGCUUAUUCUCUAAAAAAUGACCUGACUGGCUGAAUAAAACACAAUUUCUGUUUUAAUAUUGUUGUGUUAUGAAACAUUGCAAUAGAGGCACAAAUGUGGGCAAGAACAAGUUUUACUGCAGACGCUUGAUCUGCUGACAGAUUGUCCCAGUGCUGCAUUCCUCAUUCCCUGGGGGUCUGGUCCAGCUCAGAUUGGAAGAUAGUGAAGAUCUUGGGAGAUCUCCAAUAGUGUGGGUCAAAAUUCACUGAUUACAGAAAUGCAAUUGGUUCAGUUGAUCUGCAUAAAGAAAAAAACCACAGCCCAUAGUGGGAAUGUAGAGUAGGAUUGAGAGGAAAAGCUGAGCCCUAAUAGGGAGGCUGGUGCGUGGUGUAUUCAAUAAUUGCAUUUAUGAAUAAACAAUUAAGUAUUACCAAUGAAUCUCUUGCAUUUUAUUGACCCAGGCACAGAAGCUGCUUUUUGGCACUGAUGACUUGCUCAGUUCACGCUUGACAAUGGGGAAUUGUAGUGGCUGUUCCCUUAAGAAAUCAUCCAAGAUUGGGACUUAUUUGUGCGCCAUUGCUUGCAUCAAUUAACAGUACAAUCUUUUUGUUAUGAAAACGCAAACAUUAGUAGCCUGAGGAGCCUUGUAAAUGCAAAUAUAAAACUUUAAUUUCAGUAACCCCCACUUUCCCUUCAAGUACAAUAAAGGCUCUUUUUUUUUUUUUUUUUUUUCAUUUGCUGUUACA
ensembl:lncRNA